rnacentral:rRNA from 1 species
AGAGUUUGAUCAUGGCUCAGGACGAACGCUGGCGGCGUGCCUAAUACAUGCAAGUCGAGCGGACAGAUGGGAGCUUGCUCCCUGAUGUUAGCGGCGGACGGGUGAGUAACACGUGGGUAACCUGCCUGUAAGACUGGGAUAACUCCGGGAAACCGGGGCUAAUACCGGAUGGUUGUUUGAACCGCAUGGUUCAAACAUAAAAGGUGGCUUCGGCUACCACUUACAGAUGGACCCGCGGCGCAUUAGCUAGUUGGUGAGGUAACGGCUCACCAAGGCGACGAUGCGUAGCCGACCUGAGAGGGUGAUCGGCCACACUGGGACUGAGACACGGCCCAGACUCCUACGGGAGGCAGCAGUAGGGAAUCUUCCGCAAUGGACGAAAGUCUGACGGAGCAACGCCGCGUGAGUGAUGAAGGUUUUCGGAUCGUAAAGCUCUGUUGUUAGGGAAGAACAAGUACCGUUCGAAUAGGGCGGCACCUUGACGGUACCUAACCAGAAAGCCACGGCUAACUACGUGCCAGCAGCCGCGGUAAUACGUAGGUGGCAAGCGUUGUCCGGAAUUAUUGGGCGUAAAGGGCUCGCAGGCGGUUUCUUAAGUCUGAUGUGAAAGCCCCCGGCUCAACCGGGGAGGGUCAUUGGAAACUGGGGAACUUGAGUGCAGAAGAGGAGAGUGGAAUUCCACGUGUAGCGGUGAAAUGCGUAGAGAUGUGGAGGAACACCAGUGGCGAAGGCGACUCUCUGGUCUGUAACUGACGCUGAGGAGCGAAAGCGUGGGGAGCGAACAGGAUUAGAUACCCUGGUAGUCCACGCCGUAAACGAUGAGUGCUAAGUGUUAGGGGGUUUCCGCCCCUUAGUGCUGCAGCUAACGCAUUAAGCACUCCGCCUGGGGAGUACGGUCGCAAGACUGAAACUCAAAGGAAUUGACGGGGGCCCGCACAAG